rnacentral:rRNA from 1 species
GGACUACAGGGGUAUCUAAUCCUGUUUGCUACCCACGCUUUCGCGCCUCAGCGUCAGUUAUGGUCCAGAAAGCCGUUUACACCACCGGUGUUCCUCCUGAUAUCUACGCAUUUCACCGCUACACCAGGAAUUCCACUUUCCUCUCCCACACUCUAGUCCCACAGUUUAUAGCGCACCCUCCCAGUUGAGCCGGGAGAUUUCACACCAUACUUAUGGAACCGCCUACGCACCCUUUACGCCCAGUAACUCCGAACAACGCUCGCUGCCUACGUAUUACCGCGGCGGCUGGCAC